GACGAAGGGGGCUAGCGUUGUUCGGAAUUACUGGGCGUAAAGCGCGCGCAGGCGGUCUUCCAAGUCAGUGGUGAAAGCCCGGAGCUCAACUCCGGAACUGCCAUUGAAACUGUGAGACUUGAGUAUGAGAGAGGUGAGUGGAAUUCCCAGUGUAGAGGUGAAAUUCGUAGAUAUUGGGAAGAACACCGGUGGUGAAGGCGGCUCACUGGCUCAUUACUGACGCUCAGGCGCGAUAGCGUGGGGAUCAAACAGG
rnacentral:rRNA from 1 species